rnacentral:rRNA from 1 species
CCCUUAGAUGCUCUGGGCCGCACGCGUGCUACACUGAGUAGAUCAGCGGGUCAGGUUGCGCGAAAGUGUUUCCUAAUCUUGAAAUCCGCUCGUGAUGGGGAUUGACGGUUGCAAUUUUCCGUCAUGAACGAGGAAUACCUUGUAAGCGCGGGUCAUCAUCCCGCGCUGAAUACGUCCCUGCCCUUUGUACACACCGCCCGUCGCUCCUACCGAUUGAGUGGUCCGGUGAGGCUUUGGGAUCUGAGCGGAAAGAGCGUUUCGCUGUUUCUGCUCGGAAAACUCAGUCGAACCUUAUCAUUUAGAGGAAGGAGAAGUCGUAACA